rnacentral:tRNA from 1 species
GCCCCUGUAGCUCAGAGGUAGAGCGCCUGUCUCGUAAACAGGAGGCCGUGGGUUCAAUUCCCAUCGGGGGCU